rnacentral:lncRNA from 1 species
CAAGUCGGGAACUGUUGUUGUCCAGAAAGGAGCGGGCACAGAAAUCGCUGCCUUUCUCUAUGUUUAUUUUGGAAGACAGUUAUUUUAGGGAAAAUGUUACUUACGUUAAGGUGCAGCGACACCUCAGUGGUUUCCAGGGCCGUGAGGAGAUUCUGAGCUCAGAAAGCCCCAGAGGCGGGGACUGGGUGACCGCAUCUCUGCAGCCAGGCGACGGCCUGUUGAUUCCACGGCUCCGAUGCUGACACAGCGGGCUUGUGACCCUGAGCAAAUCACCUAUCCUUUUUGUGCCAUGGCUUCCGUGUUUUGGGCACAGUAAUAAAAUCCACCCGUUAGAGUUGAUGCGAGGUUAAAUGCGUGACAGGCAUGGCAUUUAGCAUGACGCUUGGGACAUAGCAGAGGCUCUGCCAAUAUUCACUGUCAGUUUUACUACUGUUGCUGUUCUAGUGGACCUGCUCAUGUAGAGGAAGGACAGCACGGCAGGUGCGGAGCUGGUGAGGAACCGGGAGCGUGGCUGCCUUGUCCCUCCUGGGCCUGUUCCUGGCCCUGGCUCACGUCUGUGUGCACAGAGGCGACCUCACUUUGCUGUCCUGCAGUCGAGAGGCUUCAAGCGCCGUCCAACACUGCUUCCAACAACUGUCGAAGUGACAUCCCACCAUGGAGAAGGACAGAGAAAUGAGUGAUUCAACCAUGCUGAAGGCCAACAGCAUCACCAGGAUUCCCUGUGACAGAAGAGAAGAAGACGCGAGGCGCCGUGGACUAGCACAACGGGACCCAAGUCCUGGACACAGGGAACAGUAUUCGGAACUCAUUUAGUAGGUCAACUCACACCCAGGACUUGGAAGAAUCCUUGACACGUUGGAUGUGAUCUUGCAACUGAAGCAAGGAAAAUACACUCUGGAAAAGGGUCAUCAUCGCGCAGACUUGGGACACAGCAGGCACUGGGGGAGACGCAGCACACUCACCCCAGGGUUGGUGGCACAGACCUGUGUGUACCAGAAGGCAGAAGCACGGGCGGCCACCAGGAGCUCCAGCACCAUGAGGCUGAGCAUCGCCAGGAGCACGCCCUGCGGUGGGGACAGGGAGGUUCAGACCCAAACUGGCAGCCUGCGCCAGACCCGGACAAGGCCAGCUGAAGCCUCCAUCAGCAGAGACGGCGGAACAGUGGGAUCUGCCUGGCCCUCGCCUCUGCUUCCCCUUCCACCCUUCUCUGCAGAGGGAGGGACAGGAUACUUAGCCCCAAACUGUUUACUGUUGGACUGAAGUCAGGCAGGACACAAUCCUCCAGUUCAUAGAUUGAGUAGCAGUACUCUGAAUAAGGCAAUGAAGAGAGAUACGCCCAUCCCAUUCUGAACUACCAGACGGAGUGGCAGGCCCCAAGGCCGCCAGGCUGCACGUGAGGAGGAAGAUGCCCGGCCCAGCACAGCAGAACUCACUGCAUUUGAGGUCAGGCUGCUCCUGGCCGGGAAGAGAAAUCCCGCUUUAGACUCCUGAUGGCUGUGUCCAGAUGUCCCCCAAAGCCUCAAGCAGUCUUGGUUGGGGCUUUUUCAGAGGUGGCUGAAUCCAGAGUAUGUGACUGCUUCAUGGUGUGGUGCUGGGUUACGGGUGUGAUCACUAACUCAGUCCCCUGAUUUGUUUGGCACUGCCCUAACCUGGUAGCCUGGAUACAACAUAAGGGGCAGAAAGAGGCUUGCAGGUCCUUUGCUCCUUGC